rnacentral:lncRNA from 1 species
CCUAUAAGUAUUUGCUUUAUCAAUAAGAAAGUUAUUAGUGUUAUUUGUCUUCUAGAAAUAGUAACAACGUAUACUGUAUGUACGGUAGAGUAUGGUACAGUAUGCUGUUAGCUUUUUACAACAGACUUCAAGUAAAUAUUUUUUCGGAAGCACUCAAGUCCUCAUUCGGAACUUGACAGCAUCAUGUUUAUGAAGCGGCCAUAUUAUCACUGAUACUGCGGUUGGAACCCAAAUAAAGCAGAGAGUCAUACAUUUGUUUAUGGUAAAGGUUUCCUAUUCUGAGGAUUGCAAUUUAUUAUAAUUAUUAUAUAGAUAAUAUAAAGGAGAAUAUGGUCAAAAGUUUUCGUCACCUAGACAUCUACAUCAACAUUUGAUCAUUUCAUAUAGAAACACAUUUUUUUCAAAAAUAUCUGGAAUGACAUGGUUGUAUUUUAACAAAUAAGGUGUCGAAAGACACAAAAUCGUGUAAAGAAUUAUUGCGUAAUGCACUACCGUCUAGUCUACAUGGUCUAGACCCCUCAUUACGCGUUGGGGGGGGAGGGGACAUGGAAAUACCAGGCGUCCGCCCGUCAGGUCGUGUUCUGAGACUGAGGUCCUGUUAGUGCUCUCACAGUCAGGUCUGUACAAUUGUAACCACAUUUGAUAUAACUUAUACUCUAGGUUAAUAUCAACAAUAUCCCUGACAAGUUCUAAAAUGGUGGGCAAUCAACUUUUUUAAAGAGUUAUUCCCCUUGGAAAUAUUAAAUUUGUAGAAAAUAGCCUUGCUAGCACUCUAACAGACCUGUACUACAGCCAUACAAUUCUUCUCUGAUUAUUUUAUAAAACUCAUCAUACUUUAAGUUAAUAUCUGCAAAAUCUUGGACAAGGUCCAUAAAGGUGUCAAAUCAUCUUUUCUCAAAGAGUUAUGCCUCUUGGAAAUAUUAAAUUUAUGGAAAAUGGCCUCGUUAGAGCUCUCACAAUUACAAUACUUGGCAGAUUUUUACCAAACUUAAAUUUUUAUAGGAUAGUAUCAACAUUAUCUUGAACAUGUUUUAUAAUGGUGGCCCAUCACCUUUUUUUCAAAAGUUAUGCCCCUUGGAAAUAUUAGAUUUAUGGAAAAUUGCCUUGUUAGCUCUAUGACAGGUACAAUUCUUGCCAGAUUAGAUAAAUCUUAUACUAUAGGUUAUAAACAACAAUAUGUCAGAAUAGUUCUAUAAGGCCCAAAAUAUAUAUAUGUCUGUUUAAGGUUACAUGCUUAAAAAAAAAUAGGGUAGGUAGGUCGGUAAUUUCAUUUUAUUUUAUUUUUUUCAUUUUAUUUUUUGUGACACGAUUUUGAGUGUGCGGUUUCAUCUUGUUGUGGGCAAAGUUGAUCAUGGCUGAGUUUACCCAUAUUUUUAAUGAAUGGAUUAUUUUUUUUGUUAUUGAUUUGAAAAAAUGUAGGCAAAAUGGUUAUUUCAUCACACCACUCGCAAAUUUCUUUAAACAGCUAUCAUAUUCAUGAUUAUGAAUAUUAGGAUGUAUCAGGCAACAUUAUAUUCACUUUUAACACAAGUUCAGUUUAUUUUUCACUUUAUGAUGGAAAUAAAAUGGCUUAGGUUCAGCACUUGGUCGGGUAACCGUAAACAGACAAAUAUUUUUUGUUUGGCCUAAUGGUGGCUGUUCCACUUUUUAUGCCUCUGAUGUAGCGGAGAGGCAUUAAGUUUUAUGUACACUGUAUAUCUGUCUGUACAUCAGUCCGUCCUUAUGUCCCAUAGUUGGUUUCCAUUCUCCAACCUAAGUUUGCCUCAUCCAAAUUUAAUGAAAUUAAUACACAAUGCUAAUUACCACAAAACUGACAUAGAUCAAGUUUGAAUUUUAUUGGCAUCACUUCAACCCUCUUGCUGCCGGAGGUACACAUAUGUCCAUACUGACUGUAUCAGAGGGUCAAUUAUGUCCAUAUUUCAAUUUAUUCAUUUCGCCUCAGUGCUGUAUCUUUCAAAUGAAAGACUAAAUUUUAAACAUGAUUACAUGUUUCAUCAAUGGAUCCCAAAUGUAACAGUCUUUAUGGAAUGACAUUAUCGUAGAGUGAACAUCUUACUUCAUAGACAUGGAGCUGUUGUAUUUUUCUGGCACAUGAAAUGCAGCCUUCAAAAACAAUGUUUAAUCCCUCAAGAGUUAUGUUGGUUUAAAAAUGGAAAAAAAGCUAAUUAUUUUGUUUCUGUCCUGUAAAUUAGCUUGGCUUUACCAAAUAGUAUGAAACUUAUACCUAAUACUCUAGUUUAAAAAACACAUAUCAUGUUUAAAUUUUGGUUAUUUCAGUUUAACUGUUCUAGAGUUAUGCCCCUUUAAAAUGGAAAAAAAGGCUGAUUUUUUCAUUUCAAUUCUCUUACUUGAGUUUGUCUCAUCCAAAUGUUAUAAAACUUGUACACAAUGUUUAAUAUUACAAAAUAUAAUCAUUUUUGAAUUUUGCUGGUGUCACCUUGCCUGUUCUAGAGUUAAUUAAGCUCCUUUACAAAUGGAAGAAAUGCUAAAAAGAAAUUUUCUGAAACUUUAACACAAUGCUUAUUACCAUGAAAUACAUAUCAGGUUUGAAUUUUGGUGGUGUCACCUUGACCGUUCUAGAUUUAAGCUCCUUUGGAAAAAUUUCUGAUUUUUUUGUUUCCAUUCUCUUACUUUUAAAGUUUGCCUUAAACAAAUUUUCUGAAACUUAAACACAAUACUUUUUACCACAAAACUCAGAUCAGGUACUAAUUUGGGUAGUGUCACUUUCAAUGUUCUUCAGUUAUUUUUGUUUAUAACUUUAUAUGAUAUGCAAGCAUCAUCCCAUGGAUACAUUUCCCAUUUAUGUUAAAAAGUGUUAUGUCUCUUGGAAGUAUCAAAUUUAUGGAAAAUGGCCUUGUUUGCCCUCUCACAGCAGACAUGAUUUAUGCUACUAUAAGUUCUGAAUUCGGACACUUUAAAAUUAGGAGAUGUGCUGUGGUAUGAUUACAAACGAGACAAUUCUCCAACACAGACUAAAUGACAAAGAAGUUAACAACUAUAUAUGCCAUGUCAGUUAACUGCUAGUAGUCUGUUGUUAUUUAUGUAUUAUUGUCAUUUUAUUUAUUUUCUUUGGUAAUUUAACAUGCAUCUUCUGACAUCAAACUCAGACUUUUAAUGUGCAUAUUGUUAUGCGUUUACUUUUCUUCAUUGUCUAGAGGUAUAGGGGGAGGGUUGAGAUCUCAGAAACAUGUUUAACCCCUCCACAUGUUUGCGCCUGUCCUAAGACAGGAGCCUCUAGCCUUUGUUAGUCUUGUAUGAUAUUUUCAUUUUAGUUUCUUGUGUACACUUUGGAGAGUAUGUUGUUAAGGGGCCAGCUGAAAGAUGUCUCCGGGUGCAUGAAUUUCUAGCUGCAUUGAAGACCUGUUGGUGACCUUCUACUGUUGUCUGUUCUAUGGUCGGGUUGUUGUCUCUUAGACACAUUCCCCAUUUCCAUUCUAAUUUUUAUACAUUGCCAUAGCUUCCUGUACAUGCUGUAUGGCCUUCAACAAUGAGUUAGACUUAUACCGCAUAGUAAGCUGUAAUAAGGCUCUGAAAUAAAGAAUUUAAAAAGAAAACUAAAAGCAGUGAUUAAUGUACAAAAAAAUAAAUGAAAAAACAGAUAUAACAGACAUUUAUCUAGGUUUAUUUGGUCUAAUAUUGUAUAACAAAUGUAUAUUUAAGAUAUGAUAUAUUUGAAAUCCUACAUGUGGCUUCCCAUUAUUUUUGGUUCUCAUGUGAUUAUAAAAGAACAAGGAGGAUUGUACCUGGGAAUUUUGAUGACAUUGACAUUAAGUUUCUAGGAAAAAAAUAGUCUAGGGACAUAAGUUACUGACAUCAGACUAUACUAGUAAAUUCUUUAACCAUGGACAUUUUACACAAUAAGUUAACACAACCAUGACUAGUCUACUAAUAUUUGUCUGUCUGGACACAUUUAACAAGACUAAUUUAUCUUUUAAAUAUGAAAGACACUGUAAUGAACUCAUAUGUCAUGUAUAGAUGCUAAAUAAUAUUCAGUCAAUUUCAGAGGAAUUACUGUGGAUUCAUUUGUGUUUUUAGUGGGUUCCAAUUUUCAUGGAUUAAGGAAAAUUUGCAUGUUUGUGGAUGUUUAAUUGCAUGGUUUGGCCAAUGUGUGCUUAGUGAUGAUACAAUUCUAUAGAAAUUUGUUACUUGCUGAAUGUUUGAUUUUUGUUGUUUACCUGUACAUACGAAAUCAAUGAAAAUUAGUAUCCAAAGAAUAAUAAUAAAUCAACAGUACACAUGGUACAUGCAGUAUAUUGAAACAAAGACAUCAAUUUUACAAUAAUCUUUUAUUAGGUACCAUGCAUGAUGCUACAGCUGUAUUUAGAUAUGAAUCACAUUCAUUGAAAAACUCAUCUAUACCUAACAACCAUUACUUGGAAGAAGAAGAUAUGACCACCAUAACCAUGUGGCAUUUGCUAGGAUGUUGUCUGUUCUAGAGGAUGUGUGGAUAAAAAAGCCAGCAUCAUUAGGAAAUGUGAUAUUGCACCUCUUAAAGAACAUAUUAAAGUAAACAGUACAUGUAUAGCUUAACUAGAGAUCCCAUGCUUUUGUGUCUUCCACUACUAUUGGAGAAUUUUCAAUGUGGGAUAAUAUUUGAUUAAUUGAAUUGCAAAACAUUUUAUUUCCUUUCUGGUUUAUUAAUGGUGGAAAUUAAUUAAACAGAAUUGUAUAUUUUAUUAGGAAUGAACUAAUUGAAAACUGUUUCUUGGUCUUUUUCAUAUUUCUCUUAUAAAUAUCUGCAAAUUUAAAAAAACAUAAUAUGUGAUAGUUUACUGAAAGUUUUAUCUCCUUAGAUGCUAUGACAUGGAGAAUUUCGUUAUUAUAUUCUUCAACUUUGUACUUCAUUUAGCCCUUUAAGGGAAAAUGGUAGUAUUACAUUUUCCCAGAAUUAGGUCAUGUAGGUUGGCCUUUUGUGUACCCAAGACAGGUGGAGGAAGUCAAAUUAGAAGAGCUGUGAUUGGAUGUAAGGGUACAAUUAUUUUUUUUAUUUAUCUAUGAAUAACUACAGUGUGUAAAUUUACCAUAUAAAUUUUAAAACCUAUUGAAAUAUUUUCUAGAGAAUUAUUCGAAAAGGCUUCCAAAAUUUCAUAAAUUUGGUGCAAAAUGACGGUGGGCAUGGAUAACAUAAACAAGCUCCGUUGGAAAUUGGUCAUGAUACUAUUUGGCUUCAAUUUUCAGAAUACAGUAAUAAAGUACUAACACCACACAUAACUGUUUUAUCCAGGUUUUUAUUAUAAAAACUGGUAAAUUUAGAAAAUGUUAGUAAAUUUGUCGCCUAUGGCAGAAUAAAUAGUACCGUUUUCCCUUAAAGUUUUUUAUUUUGAUCAUCACUGAUGAGUCCUAUGUAGAGAAAAUGUGCACCUCUGGUGUACAAAAAACAAAAAAAUAUAAACGUGAUAAACCAGCUUUUAUUUCUCAAACUUGAUUUGUGGUAAAAUUAAGCCACUACUAGCAUGUCUUGCUAACGAAGUUUGCAUUGAUUUAUUUUUGUGAUUACAGAUUUUCUAUAAAAAAAUAUUUAUUUCUACUAGGAAAGAUCUAUUUUUUUUUUUAAAUAUUCGCAACAAUUAAUAUUCACCUUGUUCAUGUUGUUAUUCUACACUUAAAAGUUGCAAAAAAUAUUGCAUGGUGCAAAAAAUAGUUGGGUUACAACUUACAGUAAUAUUUAUUAAAUAUAUAUGUUUAUUACAGAAUUGGUAAUAACAGUGAAAUAUUCCUAAAAAGAAAUUUAUAAGGAAGUAACGUGCAAACCAACAAAGUACCUGACAUGGUGGACCUUCAAGAGUUGAAGAUGUGGUGUAAGUGAACCUUUUUUCAGGUAUUUAUCCUCAAUAUUAUUAUAUAGAUAAAGAUAUUCAAAACUGUAAAAGGCAAAAAUGUUCAGCAAAGUACAUGUAGGAUCCACAAUUAGGUUUGAUGACCAAAAUUUUAAAUUGACUUUUUCUGGAGAAUUGCCUUUUAUAGACAAUUUUUCACAAUUUCAAUUUGUUCAUUUAUUAAAAAAGAAGAUGUGGUAUGAUUGCCAAUAAGAUUACUCUCCACAAGAGGCUUAAUGACACAGAAGCUAACAACUAUAGGUCACAGCACAGCCUUCAACAAUGAGCAAAGCCUGGACCUCAUAGUCCGCUAUAAAAGGCCCAGAAAUAACAAAUGUAGAACAAUUCAAACAAGAAAACUAACAGCCUAAUUUAUGUACAAAAAAAUGAAUGAAAAACAAAUAUAUUUGUAACGCUUAAACAAACCACAACCAAUUAAUUACAGGCUCAUGACUCAUGACUUGGGACAGGCACAUACAUACAGAAUUUGGAGGGGUUAAACAUGUUGGCGGGAUUCCAACUCUCCCCCAAACCUAACAGUACAAAAUACUAAUAGAACGAACUAUAUAGAAAUCAGUUAAAAAAAGACUUAAAGCAUCAGAUGGAUACAAAUAAAAACAGAGUGGAUCAAUGUGGCCGAGUACUUGUAUAUUCCAACAACAAAAUUAAGAUUCUGAUCUGAGAGUACUCACAGUUACUGCGACUAAUUUGCUUAGUUUUAAAAAUCUUCUUCUUUGAACUUGCUGAAUUAAUUUCAGCCAAACUUCAACGGAAUGAGUUUCAGAGUGUCUAGUAUACAUUUUGUAUUUCAUUUCCUUGUAUGUCAAAUAACUUAUCCACAAUGGCUAAAAUGGAACAUAAUGGUUAAAUGUAUUUUUUUGCAGUACAAUGUAGGUACAAAUUGUGACUGCAGCAGACUGAAUUUAGUUUCUAACUUUUCUCCAAAAAUUAUAGAUGUACUGAAUACUUAAAUCUGACAGAAAUUUUUUUUUAAUAGAUUAUGUAAAUGUUAUUAUAUUUUUCAGUAUCUGAAAUUAUGGGUUUAUGAAUUUGAACAGCUUUUAAUAUACCAGCAGUUCCAACAGCAUGGUUCCUGCAAUUCCAAAAAAAAGA